AUUAGUGGCGAACGGGUGAGUAACACGUGGGCAAUCUGCCCUGCACUCUGGGACAAGCCCUGGAAACGGGGUCUAAUACCGGAUACUGACCCCCGCAGGCAUCUGCGGGGUUCGAAAGCUCCGGCGGUGCAGGAUGAGCCCGCGGCCUAUCAGCUUGUUGGUGAGGUAACGGCUCACCAAGGCGACGACGGGUAGCCGGCCUGAGAGGGCGACCGGCCACACUGGGACUGAGACACGGCCCAGACUCCUACGGGAGGCAGCAGUGGGGAAUAUUGCACAAUGGGCGAAAGCCUGAUGCAGCGACGCCGCGUGAGGGAUGACGGCCUUCGGGUUGUAAACCUCUUUCAGCAGGGAAGAAGCGAAAGUGACGGUACCUGCAGAAGAAGCGCCGGCUAACUACGUGCCAGCAGCCGCGGUAAUACGUAGGGCGCGAGCGUUGUCCGGAAUUAUUGGGCGUAAAGAGCUCGUAGGCGGCUUGUCACGUCGGUUGUGAAAGCCCGGGGCUUAACCCCGGGUCUGCAGUCGAUACGGGCAGGCUAGAGUUCGGUAGGGGAGAUCGGAAUUCCUGGUGUAGCGGUGAAAUGCGCAGAUAUCAGGAGGAACACCGGUGGCGAAGGCGGAUCUCUGGGCCGAUACUGACGCUGAGGAGCGAAAGCGUGGGGAGCGAACAGGAUUAGAUACCCUGGUAGUCCACGCCGUAAACGGUGGGCACUAGGUGUGGGCGACAUUCCACGUCGUCCGUGCCGCAGC
rnacentral:rRNA from 1 species